UACUUUCUACUAGGGUUCAAUCUAGGUCUGUUUAAACAGACAUAAAGCUUGGGUAAAUCAUGUAAGUCAGCAACCUUGAGAGCCUAAGGAAUACAACUACAAUAACUCAUAAUCUUACAUACUCAUAACUUAACAUAAACAAAAACUUGUGAAAAUUAUACAUCACUAUUAAAAAUAAUUUUUGACGUGUUGAGUAAAUACUUGCUCUACCAGGGUAUUUCUUUAUUAGUGUUGACAUUGAGGUUCACC
rnacentral:lncRNA from 1 species